rnacentral:lncRNA from 1 species
GGAAAUGUCAUAACAACAGAGGCUCCAUCAGGGCUUACUGGUAGCCCACUACUGGAAAUCACAUGUCCCAAAUAUUUAACUUGAGAGAGAGAAAAUUGCAAUUUAUCUCUGGACAAUCUUUGUCCCUUAAAGCAAGCUGUUGUGACAAGUGGACAAUGUCUUCUCUGCCUGUUGUCAAGGAGGAUGAAAGUGACAAAUCAUCCACAUAUUGACCAGGAUAGUUCUGCUAGAAAAUUUGAUAUCAUGUAAAUGUCUUUUUAAUAUUUGAGAAAAGUAAGUAGGACACUUGGAAUAUCCUGAAGCAAGAUUGUCCAUGUGUACUGGUGAUUUUCUCAAGCAAAGGCAAAAAGAUAUUGGCUGUUCUGCUCUACAGAGUCAUAUUUGAAUCCUACUCUUUACAUCAGGGUUCAGGCAGCUGUCCAAACACCUUAUCUUUUCAUCUCUGACCAUUUCUUCAGAGUCGACUAUGAGCAGAAAUCACCCAGACACCCCACAGGAAUUUGUGGAAGUUCAAACUUAAGAAUGAUGAUUUAGGGUGCCUGAUGGAAGACAUUUUUAAGCAGGAAAGCAUUCAAGGUGUGGCCUCAGUGCUUCUAUACUCAGAUCCAGGAGCAAAGAAAUGACUUAAAGCUGGAAUUUAUGUUUAAACAG